rnacentral:misc_RNA from 1 species
UUUCAAACUAGAGGUUGAUGUUGCGGAGCUAAGACAAAAGCUACAGACUCUGGAAAGCUUAAAGAAAGAACUUGAGCUACUCCAACGACAAAAGGCUGCAUCAGAGCAAGCCUUAAAUGAGAAGCGAAGGCAGAGCUCUGGUGGAGUAUGGGGAUGGAUUGCUGGAACUCCUCCUAAUCAACAAGAUGAUGCUUGAUGCAAUAAGUUUGAUAAUAGAAAACCAGUUUUCAUUGAUAAUUUUUUUUAUUAAAAAUAUUUUUAUUAUGUUAAUGGUUCUUUCACAGAUAGAAUAAGAUAUGGAGUCGAGAAUUCUUUUAGGGUGGAGGUAAGUAAUGUCUUUUGUAUCAAGGCAGGCGGGACUUUUGUUGUAUUAUUAUGAGUGGCUACUAGUGCUACUUAUUUUUUGGUCUGAGUAUUCACCAGAACUAUCCUCAGAGAGAGAAUUAAUUGGUAACAAAGUAUAGGAAUGGGGUUUUCAGGUAUUUAUGGAUUUUUGUAAUGCAUUUCGUCUUACUGUAUUUG